rnacentral:rRNA from 1 species
GACGAACGCUGGCGGCGUGCUUAACACAUGCAAGUCGAACGGAAAGGCCCUGCUUUUGUGGGGUGCUCGAGUGGCGAACGGGUGAGUAACACGUGAGUAACCUGCCCUUGACUUUGGGAUAACUUCAGGAAACUGGGGCUAAUACCGGAUAGGAGCUCCUGCUGCAUGGUGGGGGUUGGAAAGUUUCGGCGGUUGGGGAUGGACUCGCGGCUUAUCAGCUUGUUGGUGGGGUAGUGGCUUACCAAGGCUUUGACGGGUAGCCGGCCUGGGAGGGUGACCGGCCACCUUGGGCCUGCGAUACGGCCCAGACUCCUACGGGAGGCAGAAGUGGGGAAUAUUGCACAAUGGGCGGAAGCCUGAUGCAGCAACGCCGCGUGCGGGAUGACGGCCUUCGGGUUGUAAACCGCUUUCGCCUGUGACGACGCGUGAGUGACGGUACUGGGUAAAGAAGCACCGGCUAACUACGUG